rnacentral:lncRNA from 10 species
CAGUGAGCUGAGAUGAUGCCAGUGCACUCCAGUGUGGGUGACAGAGCAAGACUCCAUCUCAAAAACAAACAAACAAACAAACAAAAAAACAGAAGGUGCCAUUUGCUAUGGGGAGACUAGGGAUAUGAUCUUGCUGCAAUCCUUCCAUUUUAGUAAAUCUAAAGAGUGUAAUUCCAUUCUGUUUUGUCCCCACUCCACUCCAGAGCCAAAACUAGUAAGAAAAUCAAUUCUAUUUCUAUUUCUUUCAAAACACAUCUAACAAUAAGAGAUGAUAUGCACAGCUCCAUACUAUAAAAGAAAAACUUAUGUCCUGGGUAUCAUAGACAUUUGAUGAAUGUUUGUUCAGGUGACUGGUGUAGACUUCAAUAAUAACCCGUUCAAUGCAUUAUGCCAGAUAAAAUCUUGCAUCUCAAAAGUAGGACAAACAUUGUUCUUUUAGUUCUGUCUACCCAUAAAUGCAAUAUUUACAUGUAUUUAUAAUGGGUUAAUAAAAAGAAAAUGAGUUUACUGUUCUAGAGAGUAUUAGAAUUUUGAAAAUAUGAAUUCUCCUGUCCUGGAACAUAAUUAAU